AGAGUUUGAUCAUGGCUCAGAACGUACGCUGGCGGCACGCCUAACACAUGCAAGUCGAACGAAGUAGCAAUACUUAGUGGCAGACGGGUGAGUAACAUGUGGGUAUCUACCCUUUGGCCUGGAAUAACACGAGGAAACUUGUGCUAAUACCGGAUAAGUCUUUACGGAGAAAGCUUUAUGCACCAUUGGAUGAGCCCGCACUUGAUUAGUUUGUUGGUAGGGUAAUGGCCUACCAAGACUAUGAUCAAUAGCUGAUUUGAGAGGAUGAUCAGCCACAUUGGGACUGAGACACGGCCCAAACUCCUACGGGAGGCAGCAGUGGGGAAUCUUGCACAAUGGAGGAAACUCUGAUGCAGCGAUGCCGCGUGAGUGAAGAAGGCCUUUGGGUUGUAAAGCUCUUUCGUCGGGGAAGAAAAUGACUGUACCCGAAUAAGAAGGUCCGGCUAACUUCGUGCCAGCAGCCGCGGUAAUACGAAGGGACCUAGCGUAGUUCGGAAUUACUGGGCGUAAAGAGUAUGUAGGCGGCUAGAUAAGUUGGUGGUGAAAUCCCAGAGCUUAACUCUGGAACUGCCAUCAAAACUUUUCAGCUAGAGUAUGAUAGAGGAAAGCAGAAUUUCUAGUGUAGAGGUGAAAUUCGUAGAUAUUAGAAAGAAUACCAAUUGCGAAGGCAGCUUUCUGGAUCAUUACUGACACUGAGGAACGAAAGCAUGGGUAGCGAAGAGGAUUAGAUACCCUCGUAGUCCAUGCCGUAAACGAUGUGUGUUAGACGUUGGAAAUUUAUUUUCAGUGUCGCAGGGAAACCGAUAAACACACCGCCUGGGGAGUACGGCCGCAAGGUUAAAACUCAAAUGAAUUGACGGGGACCCGCACAAGUAGUGGAGCAUGUGGUUUAAUUCGAAGAUACGCGCAGAACCUUACCAACACUUGACAUGUUCGUCGCGACUCUAAGAGAUUAGAGUUUUCGGUUCGGCCGGACGAAACACAGGUGCUGCAUGGCUGUCGUCAGCUCGUGUCGUGAGAUGUUGGGUUAAGUCCCGCAACGAGCGCAACCC
rnacentral:rRNA from 1 species